GACGUAGGGCGCGAGCGUUGUCCGGAUUUAUUGGGCGUAAAGAGCUCGUAGGCGGCUUGUCGCGUCGUUCGUGAAAACCCGGGGCUCAACUCCGGGCUUGCGGGCGAUACGGGCAGGCUAGAGUUCGGUAGGGGAGACUGGAAUUCCUGGUGUAGCGGUGAAAUGCGCAGAUAUCGGGAGGAACACCGGUGGCGAAGGCGGGUCUCUGGGCCGAUACUGACGCUGAGGAGCGAAAGCUAGGGGAGCAAACGGG
rnacentral:rRNA from 1 species